GCGCCAUUAACUCAGCUUGGACAGAGUGCCAGUCUUAUAAGCUGGAGGUCUAGGGAUCGAAGCCCUAAUGGCGCA
rnacentral:tRNA from 1 species